rnacentral:misc_RNA from 1 species
GAUGAAGAACGUAGCGAAAUGGGAUACUUGGUGUGAAUUGCAGAAUCCCGUGAACCAUCGAGUCUUUGAACGCAAGUUGCGCCCGAAGCCAUUAGGCCGAGGGCACGCCUGCCUGGGCGUCACACGUCGUUGCCCCCCCAUCUACUCCUUCGGGAUUGCGGGGGGCGGAUGAUGGCCUCCCGUGCGCCUCGUCGCGCGGUUGGCAUAAAUGCCAAGUCCUCGGCGACGCACGCCACGACAAUCGGUGGUUGCGAAACCUCGGUUGCCCGUCGUGUGCGGUCGUCGCGCAUCGAGGGCUCGAAAAAAUUGCCGGGCUCCGGCUCGGCUUUCAACGCGACCCCAGGUCAGGCGGGGUUACCCGCUGAAUUUAAGCAUAUCAAUAAGCGGAGGA